GCCAGCCAUGGUGGCACGUGCCUGUAGUCCCAGCUACUCGGGAGGCUGAGGUGGGAGGAUCGCUUGAGCCCAGGAGUUCUGGGCUGUAGUGCACUAUGCAGAUUGAGUGUCUGCACUGAGUUUGGCAUCAAUAUGGUGACCUCCCGGGAGCGGGGGACCACCAGGUUGCCUAAAGGAGGGGUGAACCGGCCCAGGUCGGAAAUGGAGCAGGUCAAAACUCCCGUGCUAAUGAGUAGUGGGAUCUUGCCUGUGAAUAGCCACUGCACUCCAGCCUGGGCAACAUAGCAAGACCCUGUCUCU
rnacentral:SRP_RNA from 1 species